rnacentral:rRNA from 1 species
AUUGAACGCUGGCGGCAUGCUUUACACAUGCAAGUCGGACGGCAGCACAGAGAAGCUUGCUUCUUGGGUGGCGAGUGGCGAACGGGUGAGUAACAUAUCGGAACGUACCGAGCAGUGGGGGAUAACUAAUCGAAAGAUUAGCUAAUACCGCAUAUCUUCUGAGGAAGAAAGCCGGGGACCAUUUGGCCUUGCGCUGUUUGAGCGGCCGAUAUCUGAUUAGCUAGUUGGUGGGGUAAAGGCCUACCAAGGCGACGAUCAGUAGCGGGUCUGAGAGGAUGAUCCGCCACACUGGGACUGAGACACGGCCCAGACUCCUACGGGAGGCAGCAGUGGGGAAUUUUGGACAAUGGGCGCAAGCCUGAUCCAGCCAUGCCGCGUGUCUGAAGAAGGCCUUCGGGUUGUAAAGGACUUUUGUCAGGGAAGAAAAGGGCGGGGUUAAUACCCCUGUCUGAUGACGGUACCUGAAGAAUAAGCACCGGCUAACUACGUG